rnacentral:lncRNA from 1 species
CUAUGCGUCGGGGGUCGGUUGUCGGUUAGUAAUUCUGAAAUACCGACAGUCGAAGUAGUCUAUUGUCUGUAGAGUCCGAACAUCGACCGCUUACCGAUCUGAAUCGAUAAAGGAAGUUCGAUCGGUUGAAAGCAGUAUCGGCCUGUUCAGUCGAUAUAUAGUUGGUAGUCGUUUUCAGGGUCGUCCGUUUAUUUGAUGGGUCAGAGUCGGAUGUCGGUUGGACUGUUCCGGAGAUUGAUCGGCAAAUGG